rnacentral:lncRNA from 1 species
AGGCAAUCCAUCUGUUUUUGUUUUCUGUACCACAUUUCCUUCUCUAUAUUUUUUGCCCUGGGCUUUGAGAUACUGCUUCAACUUGAGCUUUUGGGGAACUAAUUAGUGUUUCAACAAUAUUUGCCUGCCCAAUUAGCUGGAGGCUCCUUGAUGGCAGAGACUGCCUCCUUGGUAUCCCCAGCACACAGCACAGAACCUGGCACAUACUGUGUUUGUGGAGUCUCUGUGGAAGCAAGAAAUUACCAUCCAUUGAAAUCAUCAUCAAAGCUUAUUUAUCAUCCUGCCAUGUCUUUCCAGCCUUCAGCCUUGGGAACUUCUGUGUGUUUAUUGCACAUUCAUGAAGGUUACAGUAAAUAAUACUCAAGUAAGUGCAUCAGGGUUUGUGGAGGGUUUGGUGCAGGCUUGUUCCAGAGCCUUAAUAGGAUGAAUCUGAAAAUGAGGCUUUGGAGAUUUGAUCAAAGGACAGGUGUCUUUUAAUGUUGAGUUUUUAAGAAACAUUAAGGAUCUCAAAUGAGAGAACACUUACCACCUGGACAAAAAGGACAUUCAACAGUGGCAUUUGGGGCUUGUGCCGUUACUGUUUGAACAGAGUAACUGUGAACUGUGAACUGGCUCAAGAAGAUGUGAGUGAUUUGGGAUGGACCUGCAAUGGGGCCUCUCCUGAAGGAGAGGACUAGGAACCGGACUAGGGCAACCAAGGGAUUGAUGGUAAGGUCUUAACCAUGUUUAUGUUCCCCAGUACCUAGCACAUAAUAAAUAGUUGUUGAAUGACUGAAUGAAUGAGAUCAGAGAUGAUUGAACUGGCUGCAGUUUUU